rnacentral:rRNA from 1 species
UACGAAGGGGGCUAGCGUUGCUCGGAAUCACUGGGCGUAAAGGGUGCGUAGGCGGGUCUUUAAGUCAGGGGUGAAAUCCUGGAGCUCAACUCCAGAACUGCCUUUGAUACUGAAGAUCUUGAGUUCGGGAGAGGUGAGUGGAACUGCGAGUGUAGAGGUGAAAUUCGUAGAUAUUUCGCAAAGAACACCAGUGGCGAAGGCGGCUCACUGGCCCCGAUACUGACGCUGAGGCACGAAAAGCGUGGGGGAGCAAACAGG